AAUCACUUAGCGGCGCUGGAGGGCAACCGAAGGAUCGAUCCCGUUCCCGGCCAGUGCAGGUGGCGCCUUGAUGGUCGCCGCUACCCUACAUGAACACCUACGUCUACAACAUCAUCUCUUACGACGACACCAGAGGCGUCCAUGGCUGCUCCAACCAAUGUCUCCGGUUCCUACGAUGAUGACUACGCUUGUGUUCUUCUUCAGGAUUCUUGCUCAAUUCCGGGCAAUUGAGUACUCCAGAAGUUCCAGCAGAGCAGGUGAGCCGCUAGCUUCUUCGUGGAGCACGACCUUGGA